GAUGAACGCUAGCGAUAGGCUUAACACAUGCAAGUCGAGGGGCAGCACAAGGUAGCUUGCUAUCUGGGUGGCGACCGACGCACGGGUGCGUAACGCGUAUGCAACUUGCCCUAUACAGGAGGAUAACCCGUCGAAAGACGGACUAAUACUGCGUAUGCUCACAACUUGGCAUCAAGUGGUGAGGAAAGAAAUUCGGUAUAGGAUAGGCAUGCGUCCCAUUAGCUUGUUGGCGAGGUAACGGCUCACCAAGGCAACGAUGGGUAGGGGAACUGAGAGGUUUAUCCCCCACACUGGUACUGAGACACGGACCAGACUCCUACGGGAGGCAGCAGUGAGGAAUAUUGGUCAAUGGGCGCGAGCCUGAACCAGCCAAGUCGCGUGAAGGAUGACUGUCUUAUGGAUUGUAAACUUCUUUUAUACGGGAAUAACAAGAGUCACGUGCGACUCCCUGCAUGUACCGUAUGAAUAAGCAUCGGCUAACUCCGUG
rnacentral:rRNA from 1 species